UCCACAACUAUUUCAUAAAUAUAAUAAUAUUUUGAUUCAAGAAAAAAAAAUUACUACAAAAAUCAUAAUAUCGCUACGGCUAUGCAUAAAAUCGACAAGAAAUUUAUCUUCUACGAUACACCCUCACUUAUUUGACUUGACGAUGAUGAAAAUUUGACUUUAAUCUCAUAUUUGUAUCUGUAAUUGGUACAUCUUGAACCUGAUGACGAUUAAAGGCAUCGACCAUAUCUAACCCCGACCACGAAGACAUCAUGCCUAUCAUGGUUAUCAUGGAGAGGAAGAAGCACGCUGCGGCCACUUCUUCUGAAAUAAAGAUAGCACUGUACUCGAAGUUAAAUAGAAAAAAUGCUGGAACGAGGAACUGGAUGAAGCCACAAUAUAACCACAUUUUAACGUUGAAAUCAUCCUGACCAGCCAUUAACUUAAUCGUGAUGAAAAUAUUUGUGCAAUACUAAAAUAUCUGACUGUUGCGUGUUGUCAUACUUGGCCAAUGGCCCACUCAGAGCGAACCACGUGACCCUCCAGCCGAGGUGACAUAGAUCGCCGAGAUGGACUAUGGCCGAAGCCCUUCAAGCCGAAGUCCACUAGCCGAAGCUCUAUUUUACCGAGGCUUGUGAAUGUACCCGAGGUCCACAUGCCGAGGCCUAUGACUUGAAGCCAUGAUGCUGAAACUGGUUGAAGAUAGUUGAAGCCCUCAAGUGGAAGUAUUGUAUGAAAUGGCCGAAGCCCAGAAGCCGAUGUAGGAGCCUUCGAACCACAAGGGAGCAUCCUCCAUGGUCACUUCUCCUAAGAGAUCGCCUACACAAAGAUCUUAUUUGAAUAAUUGAUGGAACGUUUGUCAUAAGCAUAAAGGUCAAGUCUUGUCACUAGUAUGGAGGCUCUGCACAAGCAAUAAAUGCGCAGCAAGCUAGCAAGUCAAGCCCCAUACCUAGGAUAAGAUGUUUGAAUCAAAGAUGCCACGUGCCACCUCAUCCAAGGGUUCCCAUUUCAUAUGUAUCACUAUAAAUACUUCCCUUGUGUAACAUCAAAAGACUAAUGCAAGAAUCAAUACAAAGAACUACACUUUACUCAACUCUGUCUCAUUUACCUGCAAUAUAUAAAUCGAGUUUAUACACAUUUACAUAUACAUCAACGAACACCAGUUGGUAAUUAUUGUACAAUUGGAUCACGAACAACCCGCCAGAUUCCGAACGUCACUGUCCCCGCGUAGUUAGGCUACUCCCACGCCCUUUGAACCGCUCGUUUUAGGCCGUCCACGUGUCUUAGCGUGUUGGACAUUCGCCCACGUGUGCGCGGGUGGGACCGGCAUCUAUUAGCAAUGCUUUUUGGGGUCAACAGAUUGGCGCCGUCUGUGGGAAAUCAUACCAUAAUCACGAGCAACCUUGUGGCAAAAGUUUACUGAAAGGACAUUUGGGCAACCUCCCUUGAAAAAGAAUUUGUUCUUGGAAAAGAACAGGAGGAAGCCCCAUUACUUAGCGAAAUCUGAAAUAUGACAAAAGAAAAUGAGCUCCAAUGAAGAUACUCCCUCUAGGAGGGUAAGAGAAAACACGAACGUGCCUCCUCAGCUCGCUGUCCCAGCAGCUCAACAAAGACUCCACCACCACCAAAGAAGAGGUGGGAUGCAUGCGACGGCACGAUUAUCAAGAGAAAUGGCCGCCAUGACAGCCAACAUAAGGGAUAUUGCUAGCCAAAAUUUGGCUAUGAGGGAGCUUAUGGCCCAAAUGCAGGGCUAGGGAGGCUUCCCCGUUCCUCCAUAUGCCCCCAAGGGCACUACCAGCAAGAGGAUGAAGUCCAAAGUCAUAGAGCUGCUACGCCAGACUAUGGCCGAGGUAGAAGCCCAUUUGAAAGGGAAGUGGAAGUUGAUGUUUCUUCCAACUACACUUCUGGCCGAUCCACCGAGGUCCAAAUGAGCCAUGAUAAUUUUCCACCUUCGUAUGAGCAAGAUCCAAGACAUAGGAGGGCAGGAAGUAUUUUUGACAGAAUCAGCCCCGCCGAACCCAGGCUAAGGCAACAGCAGGCUCAACAACCUUGGAAAAGGCCGCCUCCUCCACCUACAAUGCCCCAGCAUGCAGAAAGAAGGCAAGAAAAUGCCCCCCGUGUUGCUCCGCCUAGAAACAGGCAGCAGAGGAGGGAGGAAGAGGCUAGGGAUCUCCCCGGAACCUCUCACCAACAACCAAGGCAUGAGGCUGAUGAAUACGACUCUGAUGAAUAGCAGAGGUCCUGCGACUUGGACGAUGACGAUGAGAACCUACCAUUCUCAAGGGAACUAAGGAAUGCCCAGGUCCCGAGCCACUAUGUUAUGCCAAAAAUACCAAAGUAUGACGGAAGAGGCGACCCGGAGAAACAUCUGAAUGCUUAUAAAACUCACAUGAGCCUA
rnacentral:lncRNA from 1 species